ACGCUCGACACCUAUGGGAGGCAGCAGUUGGGAAUAUUGGACAAUGGAGGAAACUCUGAUCCAGUGACGCCGCGUGAAGGAAGAAGGUCUUCGGAUUGUAAACUUAUUUUGUCAGGGAAGAAAAAUGACUGUACCUGAAGAAAAAGCACCGGCUAACUACGUGUCAGCAGCCGCGGUAAUCUGAGGCGGGCUGGCAAGGC
rnacentral:rRNA from 1 species